CUUCCUUGUGGGUUGGCUGUGGCUCGGAAGUGGCGGCUUCCUGGAGCCUGUGUGUCCAUUCCCAACUUCCUUGCAUCUAGAGCCUGUUUACUAGCAUGUCACUGCCUAUCACACAAUAAGGCUGGUGAAAUUCUAUUGAAAUAAUCCAUGUAAAAUGCUCAGUGGAGUGCACGAUACAAGUCAAUUCACUUCAGAAAGUAUCUACCCCCGUGUCCCCAGCAGCACAUUUCAUCCACACCACGAAGCGAACAGAAAGAGACCUAAAGCUUGGUCUAUGUGCUUCUGCCACUCACGUCUGAGAUUGGAAAUGUCCUCUGAAUUCUUCAUGUCUCAGCAAUCCAGACAGUCUUUACCAAUUUGUCAUAGCUUGUAAGCUACAUAAAGGAAAAUAAUAAUAACCACAACUCAAAGGCUUCU
rnacentral:lncRNA from 1 species